GUCAUUCUAGAAUUGCAGGACAGUGUAUCAUGCCGUGUUGGAUGUCAAAGAAUAAAAAUGGGCUCCUUCCAAAGUUUGGGACCAGCGACAGAAAAAGCUCUAUUCCCUCUGAGCCUCGACUUGGGUGCCAUUAGCUGACCCAGCCCAGAGAGUUAGGAGGCAAGCAGCAACAUUUUAAGCCAGCAGGAUCAACGUUAAAGGUCAGGGCUGGCUGACUCCAAAAUAAAGUGCAUUACAGUAAUCCAGCAGAGAUGUGACAAAAGCGUUGAUUACUGUUUCAAAUUCCCGUUGUGCAAUAAAGGGUGCCUUUGUCUGGUCA